rnacentral:tRNA from 1 species
CGACGGCCAGCGCGACGGCGGCGUCCUGCUCCGCGGCGACGAGGGGGAGCAGCGCCUCGGCGAGGCGGGCGAGGUUCCACUCCGCGACCACCGGC